UACGUAGGGCGCAAGCGUUAUCCGGAAUUAUUGGGCGUAAAGAGCUCGUAGGCGGUUUGUCGCGUCUGCCGUGAAAGUCCGGGGCUCAACUCCGGAUCUGCGGUGGGUACGGGCAGACUAGAGUGAUGUAGGGGAGACUGGAAUUCCUGGUGUAGCGGUGAAAUGCGCAGAUAUCAGGAGGAACACCGGCGGCGAAGGCGGGUCUCUGGGCAGUAACUGACGCUGAGGAGCGAAAGCGUGGGGAGCGAACAGG
rnacentral:rRNA from 1 species